GGGCCGUUGGUCUAGCGGUAUGACGCCACCCUCACACGGUGGAGAUCGCAAGUUCGAAAGCUUCGAGAAUCUUGCACGGCCCACCA
rnacentral:tRNA from 1 species